GAUGAAGAACGUAGCGAAAUGCGAUACUUGGUGUGGAUUGCAGAAUCCCGUGAACCAUCGAGUCUUUGAACGCAAGUUGCGCCCGAAGCCAUUAGGCCGAGGGCACGCCUGCCUGGGCGUCACACGUCGUUGCCCCCCCAUCUACUCCUUCGGGAUUGCGGGGGGCGGAUGAUGGCCUCCCGUGCGCCUCGUCGCGCGGUUGGCAUAAAUGCCAAGUCCUCGGCGACGCACGCCACGACAAUCGGUGGUUGCGAAACCUCGGUUGCCCGUCGUGUGCGGUCGUCGCGCAUCGAGGGCUCGAAAAAAUUGUCGGGCUCCGGCUCGGCUUUCAACGCGACCCCAGGUCAGGCGGGGUUACCCGCUGAAUUUAAGCAUAUCAAUAAGCGGAGGA
rnacentral:misc_RNA from 1 species